AAUACGCCUUUAUUAAAAUGUGAUACUCUGUAUAAAACUGAGGUUUGUGUACUGUGUCAUGAUUAUGUGUAAUGAAAAAUAUAUUUUCGAUAAUUAGUUCGUGUCCAGCAAUAAAGAUUAUGCUGAAUUCGGCUACAUCUGUCUACAGGUCUUCGAGUGUCAUCUUUCGAAUAAUGUGGUAAAAUAUCUCCAAGUCAUAAUGCAUAGAACCAUCGUCAAUCCGUUGAACCUUACUGCAAGUUUUUUUUUCACACGCACAUUUAUAUGUAUGGGAAUGCGCCAUCGAGUAGAUGUAGAGUCAAGCCGUAGGAGAAAGGGCCUUUGGAUCCCGAGUGCUAAGACAGAGUGAAUUGCGCAAUCAUUCGGAGAAGGACGUUGGUAAGAGCGGGACGACGAUGACGGUAUUCAAAGACGCAAUAUGUGUAAAAGACGGUUCAUUCUCUUCACUUGUAUAUAGUCUCACCUAUUUCGUUAUUCAUAUGUAAUCACCUUGCAGUUUGUAGCAGCUUUUCGUGUUUCCAUUAAACAUUCGAGUUAUUCAUAAGUCGGAUCAAUAAUUUCAAGCCCCUAGACACAGCCACCUAGGAAUUAUUAUUAAUAUGCGACAGCAGUCAAAAACAGAAAACCUGUGAUGUUACGGCAGAUGAUACCAGGAAAUAAGUAGUUCGAAGACCUCGACGCAAAUUUCCUCAUCUGGUUACUUCGGUGAAACGGCAGCGAGCCCAGAAUGUUUAAAAAUCUUGGCACCCAUCAAAGCCGCAAAAUGUAGCGGUACAGUAUUCAGAAUUUUGAUCCCUGAAUCAUCAAUAAGAACACUUUAACACCAUCCACAUGUUGUAAAUGCGAAAAAAAAAAAAAAAAAAAAAAAAAGAAAGAAAGACAGAAAAACACACACCCGGAAGGGGGAAUAAAAGAAACAUCCAGAAGAUGCAUCGAGGCACCUAACAGCACCAACAAUACCAACAUGGUUUAUUUCCGGUAAAGGCUGAACAAGGGCCCGUGGCCUCGAAAAACGAAGAUGAAAACCGCACGACAGAAGUUAAAAAAAAAAAAAAAAAAAUAGGAGGAGAGAAGAAGAAGAAGAAGAAGAAAGAGAGAGAUUGAGAAGUCGCGUUUUAGCUUGAGUGUGCAAGAUCAUUCCAUCGUUUGAAAGCUUCACAGGAGUUUAAAAUAGCUUGCCACCAGUUUCACGCGGCAGUAUUAUUGCUGCAGCAGACAGACGAAGCAGAUAUGAUGCCAAAGGAGAGAAGGGAAAUAAGUUAGGGCUCCUUGAAAAAUUCGGUUCUCUCGUCAAGGACGAAUUAUGGCUUUUCGGCUGUGGCACGUGCGGCUUUUAGAAAGAGAGAAAGUCUUCCUGUUUGGAUACUAAUAUAGCGUUGAGUGAACCCUAGUGCUUAGUUCACUAUCAAACUUCUGCCUUCGUCUGGCAAAGAAGCAUUUUUUUUUUUUUUUUUUUUUUUUUUUUUUUUUUUCCCCGUGGUAAGUUUUCUUUGAAGGACAGAAUUAAAGUUCCAGUGAUAUAAAAUAUUCUUCUCAGACAUCACUUAAGUUUCUAAACCUAAGCUUUCGUCCAUGAAAUUCAGGAAUGUUAUAACUAGAGAUUGUACUAUUUAUAGGGCAAUUAUGGAUUGUUCUAUUUAUAGUUUAUUUAUAGUAUCCCUGAUUUGGGAGCGGAAAAUUCGGGAAUUAAGAAUUUCUGAAUUGAUUAUUAAUUUAUUUUUCAAGAUAUAAGACUUCCUUUCGGAAAUGCUCAAGGAAAUUUAAAAAAAAAAAAAAAAAAAAAAAAAAAAAAA